CAGGCACUUGCAGCAUCCCUUUAAAUAUUCUAGAUUUCAACAUUAUUUUUUAUUGAAUUGCAAUUGGCAGAAACAGGAAUUGUUUGGUCAGCAUGAUUUCAAGCGUUAAAGGGAGAUUUUGAAAGCAAAUAUAUAUAUAGCAACAGUGACUACAUGUUAUUAUUAUUAUUUAUAAAACACCAACAGAUUCCGCAGCGCUGGACUAACAAUGAAUGAAUAAGCAAUAAAUGGACUAACAGACAUGUAUUUGUAACCAGACAAGUUGGAUGCACAGGAACAGAGGGGGUUGAGGGCCCUGUUCAAUAAGCUUACAUGCUAGAGGGAGUGGGGUAAAGUGACACAAAAGGUAGGUUGCUAGAAUAGUGUUCACUGAAGGCUUAGUGUUUUGUAUUUUUUUAAAUGUAUUAUUUCAUUUUUUUACGACAGUAGCAGGAAUGGGAUCAGGCUGCAGGGAGGGAAAGCUAGUAACAGUUUAAUUGAUAUGCUUUACUGAAGAAGUGAGUUUCCAAUGAUUUUUUGAAGUAAUGAAGACUGGGUUAAAGUCUAAUGGAAAAGGAAAGGGAGUUCCACAGGAACGGUGCAUCCCUAGAGAAGUCUUGAAGGUAAACAUCAGAGGUGAGAGUAAGAAAAGAGGAUAUGAGUAGGUCUUCAAUAGAGCAUAGGGACCUAGACAAGGCAUAUGGGACAGACAGUUAUUAGGAAAUUAGGGAGGAUAGGUACAUUACAUAGAGAUUUGUAGGCAAAUACCAGAAUUUUAAAUUAAUCCCUAUAUUUUACAGGAAGCCAAUAUAGGGACUGACAAAGGGAGGAAGCAUAGGGGGUGCAGACAGACAGGAAGAUGAGCCUCGCCACUGCAUUCAUUACAGACUGUAACAGGGGCAAGUUCGGUACAUGUAAGACAACUAAGAAGUUUAUUGCAGAAGUCAAGGCGAGAGAGGAUAAGCAGCAUGGACCAGCACCUUAGCCAUAUCCAGCGUUAAGUAGGGGCGGAUGUGUGCUAAGUUUUUGAGAUGGAAACGGCAGGAUUUGGCAAUCAACUGGACAUGAAGGGUGAAGGAGAGGCAGUGAGCCUUCU